GGUGCCACGCACUCUUCAAGACUCUUGAUUCCAACCUACGGCCCUAAUGGCUCAUCUCCGUCCGGCAUGAAUCAGGCGCCAACAGUAGCUGCUGCACAAGCGCCAUCAGCAGCCGCUGCUCUCCUCCUCAAGUACGGUAAGAUGAAACACAGGUGACCGAGAACCCAACAUUGUAAGCAUACAUGUUGAAAAACUUCUGAGCUUCGUCUCUUGUCGCAAACUCCAUUCCUACAUGAGG